GACGAACGCUGGCGGCGUGCUUAACACAUGCAAGUCGAACGGAAAGGCCCUGCUUUUGUGGGGUGCUCGAGUGGCGAACGGGUGAGUAACACGUGAGUAACCUGCCCUUGACUUUGGGAUAACUUCAGGAAACUGGGGCUAAUACCGGAUAGGAGCUCCUGCUGCAUGGUGGGGGUUGGAAAGUUUCGGCGGUUGGGGAUGGACUCGCGGCUUAUCAGCUUGUUGGUGGGGUAGUGGCUUACCAAGGCUUUGACGGGUAGCCGGCCUGAGAGGGUGACCGGCCACAUUGGGACUGAGAUACGGCCCAGACUCCUACGGGAGGCAGCAGUGGGGAAUAUUGCACAAUGGGCGGAAGCCUGAUGCAGCAACGCCGCGUGCGGGAUGACGGCCUUCGGGUUGUAAACCGCUUUCGCCUGUGACGAAGCGUGAGUGACGGUAAUGGGUAAAGAAGCACCGGCUAACUACGUGCCAGCAGCCGCGGUGAUACGUAGGGUGCGAGCGUUGUCCGGAUUUAUUGGGCGUAAAGGGCUCGUAGGUGGUUGAUCGCGUCGGAAGUGUAAUCUUGGGGCUUAACCCUGAGCGUGCUUUCGAUACGGGUUGACUUGAGGAAGGUAGGGGAGAAUGGAAUUCCUGGUGGAGCGGUGGAAUGCGCAGAUAUCAGGAGGAACACCAGUGGCGAAGGCGGUUCUCUGGGCCUUUCCUGACGCUGAGGAGCGAAAGCGUGGGGAGCGAACAGGCUUAGAUACCCUGGCAGUCCACGCUGUAAACGGUGGGUACUAGGUGUGGGGUCCAUUCCACGGGUUCCGUGCCGUAGCUAACGCUUUAAGUACCCCGCCUGGGGAGUACGGCCGCAAGGCUAAAACUCAAAGGAAUUGACGGGGCCCCGCACAAGCGGCGGAGCAUGCGGAUUAAUUCGAUGCAACGCGUAGAACCUUACCUGGGUUUGACAUGGAUCGGGAGUGCUCAGAGAUGGGUGUGCCUCUUUUGGGGUCGGUUCACAGGUGGUGCGUGGCUGUCGUCAGCUCGUGUCGUGAGAUGUUGGGUUAAGUCCCGCAACGAGCGCAACCCUUGUUCACUGUUGCCAGCACGUUAUGGUGGGGACUCAGUGGAGACCGCCGGGGUCAACUCGGAGGAAGGUGGGGAUGACGUCAAGUCAUCAUGCCCCUUAUGUCCAGGGCUUCACGCAUGCUACAAUGGCUGGUACAGAGAGUGGCGAGCCUGUGAGGGUGAGCGAAUCUCGGGAAGCCGGUCUCAGUUCGGAUUGGGGUCUGCAACUCGACCUCAUGAAGUCGGAGUCGCUAGUAAUCGCAGAUCAGCAACGCUGCGGUGAAUACGUUCCCGGG
rnacentral:rRNA from 1 species